GGGCCCGCACAAGCGGUGGAGCAUGUGGUUUAAUUCGAUGAUACGCGAGGAACCUUACCCGGGCUUGAAAUGUACACGAAUACUGAGGAAACUUGGUAGCCGGCAACGGCGUGUAUGUAGGUGCUGCAUGGUUGUCGUCAGCUCGUGCCGUGAGGUGUCGGCUUAAGUGCCAUAACGAGCGCAACCCUUACCGGUAGUUGCUAGCAGGUAAUGCUGAGGACUCAACCGGGACUGCCGCCGCAAGGUGUGAGGAAGGUGGGGAUGACGUCAAAUCAGCACGGCCCUUACGUCCGGGGCGACACACGUGUUACAAUGGCCGGUACAGCGGGAAGCUACCACGCGAGUGGAUGCGAAUCUCGAAAACCGGUCCCAGUUCGGAUCGGAGUCUGCAACCCGACUCCGUGAAGCUGGAUUCGCUAGUAAUCGCGCAUCAGCCAUGGCG
rnacentral:rRNA from 1 species